UACGUAGGUGACAAGCGUUGUCCGGAUUUACUGGGCGUAAAGAGCGCGCAGGCGGUCGUUCAAGUCGAGUGUGAAAGCCCCCGGCUCAACUGGGGAGGGUCAUUCGAUACUGAUCGACUCGAAGGCAGGAGAGGGAAGUGGAAUUCCCGGUGUAGUGGUGAAAUGCGUAGAUAUCGGGAGGAACACCGGUGGCGAAGGCGGCCCCCUGGACCGGUACUGACGCUGAGGCGCGAAAGCGUGGGUAGCAAACGGG
rnacentral:rRNA from 1 species